rnacentral:rRNA from 1 species
AUUGAACGCUGGCGGCAGGCCUAAUACAUGCAAGUCGAACGAGAAAGCAUCUUCGGAUGUGAGUACAGUGGCGGACGGGUGAGUAAUACAUAGGAAUCUACCCAAUGUGGGGGAUAGCUCGGGGAAACUCGAAUUAAUACCGCAUAAUCUCUACGGAGUAAAGGGGGCUUCGGCUCUCGCCAUCGGAUGAGCCUAUGCAGGAUUAGCUUGUUGGUGAGGUAAUGGCUUACCAAGGCAACGAUCCUUAGCUGGUUUGAGAGGAUGACCAGCCACAUCGGGACUGAGACACGGCCCGGACUUCUACGGAAGGCAGCAGUAGGGAAUAUUGGACAAUGAGCGAAAGCUUGAUCCAGCCAUGCCGCGUGUGUGAUGACGGCCUUCGGGUUGUAAAGCACUUUAGGUAAUGAGGAAAAAUUAGAUGUUAAUACCACCUAAUCAUGACGUUAAUUACAGAAUAAGCACCGGCUAAAUCCGUG